CACCGGCGCCACGAGUGGUCAUCACGAUUAUUGGGCCUAAAGCGUCCGUAGCUGGUGCGGUGCAUCCCUUGUGAAAUCGUUCGGCUUAACCGAACGGCGCGCAGGGGACACGGCCGCGCUCGAGACCGGGAGGGGGCAGAAGUAUUCCAUAGGGACCGGUAAAAUGGGAUAAUCUAUGGAGGACUACCGAUGGCGAAGGCAUCUGCCCAGAACGGAUCUGACAGUGAGGGACGAAAGCCAGGGGAGCGAACCGG
rnacentral:rRNA from 1 species